rnacentral:rRNA from 1 species
ACAUGCUUAUAACAUAGUGCUAAUGCACCAAAUUCCAUUAAAACUCCACAGUUAAACGUGCUCGGGCUAGAUUAGUAUUGGGAUGGGUGAUCGCCUGGGAAGUUCUAGUAUUUUACAUGCC